rnacentral:rRNA from 1 species
CUACGGGGGGCAGCAGUGAGGAAUAUUGGGCAAUGGAGGCAACUCUGACCCAGCCAUGCCGCGUGCAGGAAGACGGCCCUCUGGGUUGUAAACUGCUUUUGUUUGGGAAUAAACCCUUCUACGUGUAGAAGGCUGAAGGUACCUUACGAAUAAGGAUCGGCUAACUCCGUGCCAGCAGCCGCGGUAAUACGGAGGAUCCAAGCGUUAUCCGGAUUUAUUGGGUUUAAAGGGUCCGUAGGCGGAUCUUUAAGUCAGUGGUGAAAGCCCACAGCUCAACUGUGGAACUGCCAUUGAUACUGGAGAUCUUGAGUGUAGUAGAAGUAGGCGGAAUAGGGCAUGUAGCGGUGAAAUGCAUAGAUAUGCCCUAGAACACCGAUUGCGAAGGCAGCUUACUAUGUUACAACUGACGCUGAGGGACGAAAGCGUGGGGAGCAAACAGGAUUAGAUACCCCCGUAGUC